UAAGGACCAGUUGUAUGACGUGCCCGUCGGUGCAACUACAACAGAUUUACCGCCUGGUGUCCUCUACAGAGUAAAAGCUACAUACAAAUAUGUCAAAGAGGAUGUUGAUGAGUUAAGUUUUGAUGUUGGAGAAAUCAUUCAAGUCAUUGAGUAUGAUGAUCCAGAAGACCAGGAGGAGGGAUGGUUGAUGGGCCAGAAGGAAGGUACAAAUGAGAAAGUUUUGUUCCCGGCUAAUUUCACUCGACCAUUGUAACAUUGACAGAGUAACAACAACACAGUCAGCCUGUUUCUAUACACAUAUUUACAAA